ACCCACUUUAGGUAAGUUUUUGGUGCCAGUGUGAGGCUGUGCUCUCGCGAUACCUGGCUCCUGGGGUUUUCCCCAAAGCAGAGCCGCCACCGUGAUGACUUGCCGGGAAGCCUUCAAGGAGUCACUACUCCCAGACAGGUGGUUUGGGACAAUGUUCCCAGCAGCUGCUGAGACCACUUUUGGGGGGAGAGUCUCCCUGUCUCUCCCCUGCGCAGCACUGGCGGCAGUGUAUGCUUCUCCUUGGUGGAAUGGAAUCAUGCCUCUGGACAAGCUGACAAGCCCCGUGACCCAGUGUUGUUACCAAGAGAAUCCCCGCAGACAACCUCCUGCUUUCAAAUCACCACCUCAGAGUCAGUCCCAGACAAUGACAUUUGAAAGGAUUAAAUAAAAAGAAGAAAAGACAGUGUUGUUCUAACCCAGGUAUUUAAUCAGGAAAUCAGGGUCACUCUAGGUCUUUCCAGUGGAGAGGAUUGAAUACCAGGAGUUGACAACACAGAUGAUGAAGACUGGAGAUGGUGAAGCAACCCAUAGAUGAGUUACCAUCACCUGAUGAAGGCUGGAAGGAAGAAGAGGUGGAAGUGUCAUCAGAGUCUGGAAGUCAGUGCCGUCCAGGAAACGAUGGGACUCUGAAGGCUCAGAGAAUCUACAGCCACAAAAGAGACAAAGCCUCUACUGGAAGCACCUGGGGCAGGGGGAGAUACCUGGCUUCCCCCUUCUUCUUGCUAAUCAGUCUUCUGCCAUGGCCCCCAUUGGCCAAACCGAAAUCCAUCUGACAGUGAAGCCUGACAGUAAGGAUUCUGACAUGGAGCUUAGCACGGGUAGGAGGGGGAAGGAUAUGAGGACAGGCAGGAAGUGGCCAGU
ensembl:lncRNA